rnacentral:lncRNA from 1 species
GAACAUCAGAUUGCGUCUUAUAUAGAAUUAGAAAGUGGAGCCAGAGGGAAUAUAAUCUUAUAUAGAAUUAGAAAGUGGAGCCGGAGGGAAUAUAUAUAGUGAGAGAAGGAAACUAAGAUCAUGGCCAUCGCCAUCUUCACCACAAACUCAGAAGAAGAAAAAAACACCAUGAUCUGUAUUGAAAGCUUGGACAGAUCGUAUGGUGGAUCUCUUAUGGGUGUGGGAUUUUAGACCUGCUGGUGUUGGGGGUUUUGGAAGCUGGAUCUUGUUCGGAUCUAAUUCUUUUUUGAAUCACUUUGCGAACUGUUCAUGCUGGAAAAUAUGGGGUUUCUGGGCUUUGAUUUAUUUCCGGUGGUUUGGUUAUGUGGCCCUAUUGGGUUUCAUGGUUUCUGUCGUUCAGUGUGCUUGUACAAUCUGAGUUCUUGUUAGCAUAUCCAGAUUUGGAGUUUCAAAUUGAUUUAAAUUGAAGUCUCUCCUCAAUGGGUCUAAUUAAUUUGUGGAUUUCCCAACUGAUUCUUUAUGCUUAUUGUUGUCUCUCUUUGCCGAAUCAAUUGGGCGUUUGUUUUCUUAGUGUUGUCUCUCUUGGCUGAGGUUUGAUUGAGUUCGUCAUGGCCAGAUGGUUUGGUCGUUGUUUGAUGAUGACGAUCUUGAAGAAGAUGAAGUUCUAGAAUAAAUAAAUAUUUUUUUUAGAUAUAGUUCUUUGUGUUGUUUUUUGGUUAAAUGAUAUAAAUAUUAAUGUUUUUUUAUUUUUUUAUAUUUUUUUGUUUGAUUAAUUGACAUGUUGUUUUAUUUAAUUUUUAAUUUUAUCAAAUAAUUUUUAUUUUUAUUUUAUCAAUUAAUAAUUGUGCUCUUUUUA